GAAUGAGCCUGCGAGUCGGUGGCGUGUCGCGAGGUUAACCCGUGUGGGGUAGCCGUAGCGAAAGCGAGUCCGAAUAGGGCGAAUGAGUCGCUGGGUCUAGACCCGAAGCGAAGUGAUCUACCCAUGGCCAGGUUGAAGCGCGGGUAAGACCGCGUGGAGGACCGAACCCACCUAGGUUGAAAACUGGGGGGAUGAGCUGUGGGUAGGGGUGAAAGGCCAAUCAAACUUCGUGAUAGCUGGUUCUCCCCGAAAUGCAUUUAGGUGCAGCGUCACGUGUUUCUUGCCGGAGGUAGAGCUACUGGAUGGCCGAUGGGCCCCACCGGGUUACUGACGUCAGCCAAACUCCGAAUGCCGGUAAGUGAGAGCGUGGCAGUGAGACUGCGGGGGAUAAGCUCCGUAGUCGAGAGGGAAACAGCCCAGAUGUCGACGCGGCCG
rnacentral:rRNA from 1 species